rnacentral:rRNA from 1 species
GUCGCGGGGCAGCAGGUCUGUAGCAAUACAGACGCUGGCGACCGGCAAACGGGUGCGGAACACGUACACAACCUUCCUUUAAGUGGGGAAUAGCCCGGGGAAACCCGGAUUAAUACCCCGUAACAUAUAGAAGUGGCAUCGCUUUUAUAUUAUAGCAGCAAUGCGCUUGAAGAUGGGUGUGCGGCUGAUUAGAUAGUUGGCGGGGUAACGGCCCACCAAGUCGACGAUCAGUAACUGGUGUGAGAGCACGACCAGUCACACGGGCACUGAGACACGGGCCCGACUCCUACGGGAGGCAGCAGUAAGGAAUAUUGGUCAAUGGACGCAAGUCUGAACCAGCCAUGCCGCGUGGAGGAUGAAGGUCCUCUGGAUUGUAAACUUCUUUUAUUUGGGAAGAAAUCUAUCUUUUCUUGGAUAGUUGACGGUACCAGAUGAAUAAGCACCGGCUAACUCCGUGCCAGCAGCCGCGGUAAUAAGGAGGGUGCAAGCGUUAUCCGGAUUCACUGGGUUUAAAGGGUGCGUAGGUGGGCAGGUAAGUCAGUGGUGAAAUCUCCGGGCUUAACCCGGAAACUGCCAUUGAUACUAUCUGUCUUGAAUACCCUGGAGGUGAGCGGAAUAUGUCAUGUAGCGGUGAAAUGCUUAGAUAUGACAUAGAACACCCAUUGCGAAGGCAGCUCACUACGGGAAUAUUGACACUGAGGCACGAAAGCGUGGGGAUCAAACAGGAUUAGAUACCCUGGUAGUCCACGCCCUAAACUAUGGAUACUCGACAUCAGCGAUAAACUGUUGGUGUCUGAG